AACGAACGCUGGCGGCGUGCCUAACACAUGCAAGUCGUGCGAGAAAGUUCCUUCGGGAGCGAGUAAAGCGGCGCACGGGUGAGUAACACGUAGGUAACCUGCCCCCCAGUCUGGAACAACUAGAGGAAACUCUAGCUAAUGCCGGAUGAGACCACGAUCCCUUCGGGGGUUGCGGCCAAAGAUGGCCUCUACUUGUAAGCUAUCGCUGAGGGAUGGGCCUGCGGGCCAUUAGCUUGUUGGUGAGGUAACGGCUCACCAAGGCUGUGAUGGCUAGCUGGUCUGAGAGGAUGACCAGCCACACUGGGACUGAGACACGGCCCAGACUCCUACGGGAGGCAGCAGUGGGAAUAUUGCGCAAUGGGCGAAAGCCUGACGCAGCGACGCCGCGUGGGUGA
rnacentral:rRNA from 1 species